ensembl:lncRNA
UGGAAAUGCAUGUAGUAUUUUCAUCCUCUGAUGGUGGAGGAGAACAAAAAGGCUUUUGUCUUCAAAGAACAGUGGUGAGUAUGAAGAAGAUCUACUGGAGCCAGGUCUUGGGGUGGCCAUAAGGAAAUCCAUGAGCCUUUAUCACACACGCAGUGGUGAGUACCCAAUCGUAUUAUUUUCCUUCUCCGCCUUCACAGAAAUAUAUAUGUGUAUAUAUAUAGUUUUCUUCAAUGGGACAUCUUCCACCUCCCGACCACCUCCUCAACUCUCUCUUGCUCAGCAGAGAAUUAAUCAUGGAGUAAGAAGGGGAAUGAAGAAGCAAGAUAUUAUACAAAUCUAACAAAUUAAUAAAAGAAAGAAACUAAGUGCCCUGUUCAGAAGGAUGUUGCAGCAACCAGGGCAAGGAGCUGAAGCCAGUCUGCGGACUGGGAGGGUGAGGGUGAGGCCAUCAACAGCACUCAGAGCACUCAGGAAGUAUCCACGCGGAGGGAGGGCUGUGUGCUGGUCCUGAGAAGGAGGCAGGCAUGUGUGAGCCUUUACUCAAAAGGCAUUCACAAGACUGGGAAUGCGGUGAGAAGAGCGCUAAGCCGAGCCAGACUUGAAUCUAGUCCUAGCUUUUCCACUAAUGAGUUUUACAACCUCGAACAAGCCUCUAAACCCCUCGGACCCUGGGUUCUCUUCCAUCUUUCCUGCCUCCUGUCCUUGUUAUCAAGGAAGCUCAAAUGCUUUGGCAAUACUGUCAAGCAUCAAGCUCCAUACAAAUGGAAUUCGUUUACUGAGCAUCUACUGUGUGCUAGAGGCUGUGAGGGCAUCAUGCAAGCUACAAAUCUGAAUCCAAUUCAGAUCCUGCCCCCCAGGAACCGAAGAUCCGUAAGGGCAAAUAAGCCACGCCUCGGUUGGUUCUACUGCAAGGAGGAAAGAGAGGUGCGGAUGCAGCGCAGUGGACAGGCAAGCAGCACUGGCAUCCGGCCCGCGGACCAGGCCCACCCGCUCCGCGGCCGCGGUUGCGCUCUCCGUUUCCAAGGCGAUGCGCCCGCGAGGGCUUCCCCCUCCCGCCACCCUGCGCCGCAGCUACCCGCGGGCCAGGCGCGCCACCUGCUGGCCACAAGGGGAAGAGUCCGGGAGAAGGGCCCGCGACGCAGCCUUUUGCCGCCGAGAUCCGGCCCUCCCUCCUUCUCCCUGAGCGAUUUUCACCGCCACGGCUCACUCUGCUGAUUGCACACAACGCACGCCCCCUCCCUGCUUCCCUCCAGUGGCAAACCCGCCGGAGACAAGGCUCUGCAAUCUACCCCAUCUCUUCAUCUCUCCAUCUCUUGAAACCAAGUUUAACUUGAAUGACCAGAACUCUGGCAAAAAGAGAUCACAUCGCUUUUCCCCCACAUAUCUCCUCCUUCUCCUAAUUUUUGAAAUUACUUUUAUGAUCUCUUUGUUCUCUGUGAGGGAGAGGAGCCCAGAACGGUAAGCUGGAGCCAAAGUGUCAUGUCCCAGAAGCCUGAGCCAGGUAAUCCGGACUAUGCCUAAGGGCGUUAGUGUAUGAUGUCAUGGGAGCAAUUCAGCUCCAGUGAGUUGCUACAUGCUUUUGGCAGUUUUAAAAUAUGACUACAUAAGAGAAACAUACAAAUCAAUAGAAUGUGACAAAAGUCCGGAAAUAGAUAUGCAAAAACAUAUAUACAUAUAUUUGACUAUCAUAUUUGAUAUAUAUAUAUAUGCCCC